GCCCCCCGCGCGGAGGGGCCGCCGAGGGGCCGGGGGGAGCCGGGGCCGUGCGCGAGUGAGGGGUGCGCGGGGCGGACUGGAAGAGGGCUGAUCUCUCGGAGGAAGCUGGAAUUACUUCCAACUUUCAUGUGUACCUGAAGUGUUUGGAGAACUCUCAGAGGGGAGUCCCCCUGGGCCGGGGCUGCGUGGGGCUGGAGAAAGGCUCCUUUCAUUCAGCGCGGGCGGCUCCGGGGUGUGUAAUUUGCUUAGCCUCUGAACUCCAUAUGAUUUACAUUAUUCAGAUUUCUAAGCGUCUUUCCUCUUGAUGUGCUGCUGCGAAGUCGUUUUAAAGAGUAUUUUGCAAGCUGAAGCGUUAUGAACUGUGUGAAACCACGCUUGGUGCAGAAUAUCUGAAGUUCGGGCCAUUAGCAUGCGCUUACAGAAACCGUGGUGCUUAACGUAAGGAGGGAAAAAAGGAAAAAAGUCCUUUGCAUGUCAGCUGGAAUGAGCUCUAUGCCUGUGUACAGGGCAGCACAAAAGAAGAAGCUGGGAGCUCUCAAACUCCUGCACGCUGUAAUGAAAUAUGGCAAAAAUGCAGGUUUAAGACUAAUGUAAUUCUGGCAGCUUUGAACUUGGGACUCCCCUGGUAAAAGCAUUCUACGUCAUCUCUCUAGUAAGAAAGCAAAGAUGGGGAGCUCAGCAAGUGUUCUGUGCGUGGGCAGGAUCCAUAAUGUGCUGGCAAGCGCAGCAGGAGAGAUGCACACUGCUGUGGCCUGCUAAUGUGAUGAUGUAUGGCACCUGCAGGCUGCCAGCGCCGCUGAUCAAAACAUGGCACGGGGAUCAAUCUCUAAUCAGAGCAGUUGUGGAGGGCCGGAGGAAAGUGAUCAAAAGACCCCGGGACCUGCUGCUCUGACAGGAAACCAAUCAGACUUUGUGCCCACUAUGGGAAAUUAUCUGCUCGGUGUGAGAGGAGAAAUUGCUCCCUCUGCCCCUUCCCGGCUUACCUGACAUCUGGGAAAUUUAGGGCAUUGCUUUGUGAGAAAGGGAGCUUGGCAGUAAUAUACUAAAAUCUGGUACUUCUAUGCAGUGGUCUGCUCAAUCUGUGUGACUGCAGCAGGAUGCCCAGAUGCCAUUGUUCUGCUUCAACUUUGUUAGCCCUAAAACUUGCAGUGGGGUCAGUCUUCCGUAGGAGUGCUUGGUAAUGCACAGCACAAUGGCAGGGAUCCAACAGGGAGGUGUGAGAGGUGGAUAGUGCAAGCUUGCAAACAGAACUUGUGUAAGUGCGCAUAAGUAUACAUGACUGCAUAAGCUGGAUUCUCUUCACCUGCAGCCAAAGUGCAGCUGCCUUGGGUCAGGCUUCAACUGGUUUGCAGUGCAAUUUGGCGUGCUGUGAAGUACAGUCAGUGCCUCUUACAAUAAACGUGAAUCUGGAGAUUUGAAUGCUGUGGAACUGUAUUCUCUGGCAGUUUAUACUUAAAACAAUCCAGGUUUUUCUUCUUGUUUACUUGAAAUCUGCUCUCUAGUUGUUCAAUUACAAAACUUUUCUCAAAAAUGAGUAUGAGUUUAAGUGCAACUAAGUACCAACUCCUGAAUUUUCUUCCCUGAUUUUAAUUAUUUGGGGGAUCAGCAACACUGGUCAAACCAGUUCUUCCUUGGUUUAAUUAGAGUGGUUUUUUACACUGUACUGCAAUCUAAAGAUUGUAUAGUUAUUAGCUAGAGGCAGGUUAAAGCUGCCUGGAGUUGGAGAAUGAGAUAUUGCUAUUCGUGUGUCAAAUAAUCUUUGAUCAGCAGAGAGGGAGCUUUUUCACUCACACCGUCUACAAAUAAAAAUUCUGUCCUCUACUUGUAAAACUGCUGCAUGGCCAGGAAGUUCUGAUGUAGAGUGGAUUGCAGUGUUACUUGACUCUGCAUGUGGAUGCUGUAGCUGGUGGAUCAAGGUGAUACUGAAGAUGUCUAUGACCAAUUAUUAAAUCAGUGGGAGUACUUGUGUUACAGAAGGUAGUGCCUGGCCUUACUUGUCCCAUCAUAAUCAUCUAGAGGAUUUCCCUGUUUGUGCAUCUUUAAAGGAGCUUGCAGCUAAUCCAUGGAUAGGGACAAGAUCAUGACAUGAAGUUUCUGGUGAAGAUCAUUUAACUUGGGCUUGCAACACCUGAAAGAGUAUGCUGAUGUCUGAAUGAUGCAGCUCAUCCAAUUCUUGAAGGUGGGAAAGUCAGUGCUUUUAUUAAGUGCCGUAAUUUGACUGCAAGAUUAUCUCUGACAAAAGAGCAUACUUCAAAGCAAUAGGAAUCAAUGCUGCUUCUGCUGAGUCUAGCUGAAUUAACAACUGCCAAUACAGUCUGACUACUGCUGGGUGGCAGAAAUUUUGUUUGUUUUGAGAAGAAAAGGAAGAAGAAAAUAUGAACGUGUCAUCUAAAAGGAAACGUGAUAAUGAUGCAAUUUGUCCUAAGAUUAAUAUAUUUCUAUUUAAUCCAACACUUGUUUUGAAAUACUUUAAAGCUCUUUUCCUGGAAAGUGAAGAAGUACACCACAUCCUCUUUUGACUUGUGAUUGUGACAAAUUAGAGAAGUUCUUCAACACUGCAAUAAAAUGCAAUGCAAGGAGAUUAUUUUUUCUCAGAGAGAGUGGUAAGGCAUUGGAGCAGGCAGCCCAGGGAAGUAGUGGAGUCACCAUCUCAGGAGGUUUUCAAGAGGAUAGAUGUGGCAAUUAAGUACUAGUUUUAAUGGUGAUGGGUUGUCAGUUGGACUAGAUAAUCUUAGUGGGCUUUUCCAACAUUAAUGAUGCUAUAAUCUUUUGGCAUAUUGCCACUUGUUCUCUAGUCAUAGAAUCAUAGAAUCUUUAGAGCUGCAAGGGACUUUAAAUGCCAUCUAGUCUAAUCCCCCUGCAAUGAAUAGGGACACCCACAGCCAGAUCAAGUUGCUCAGAUCCCCAUCCAUUCUGAUCCUGUCUCCAGAUAUAGAGUAGUCACCACCUCUCUGGGCAACCUGUUCCACUGCUUCACUACCCUAAAAAAACACUUUUCUUUAUAUCUAAUCUAAAUCUCCUGUCUUUUAGUUCGAAACCCCUUGUUUUGUCACAGCAACAAAGCCUGCUGAAGAGUCUGUCCUCUUCCUUCAUAUAGCCCUCCUUCACGUACUGAAAGGCCACUCUCAGGUCUUCACAGAGCCUUCUCUUUUCCAGGCUGAACACUUUCAUAUGCAGGUGUUUGAAGCUGGGAAAAAAGAAUAUGAAUUUUCCUCUUAUGUGCCACAGUCUAUUACAAGCAGGAAAAGCAUUUGCUCAUGAAAUAAGAAAAUGUUCAAGUGUUAUUCACCGUAGUUGCAUCCUUUUAUACUGGUGAGAAUGGGAGAGAUGGAAGAGAGUAGCAACCAGUAAAAACUUAUCUUGUUUUUUUGUUUGUUUAUUUAUUGUUAGUGGCAGCACACUUUUGUGAAUUAAUCCUCAUAAAUUAUUCAUUGGCCUUACCUGUCCCUUCACAGUUCAUUCAUUCGAGAGACCAUUAUAAACACAGAUGUUUUAAGGAGAUUCUUUUAAGUCAAAGGAACAUCUCUGUGUUCAGUUUCUCCCCCAAAGCCCGAAAGACUGAAAUAAGUUCUCAAGUUUGUUAAAGGUGAUUAUGAAUUGUGUUAGUUUCCAGACAUAUCUCCACUUGAAGCAUCAUUAAUACUUCACACAUGGCACAAUGCAUGGCCAAGUAAGGCUGAGUGUGGGCUAAAUAGGAGCUGGGCAUCAGGCUGUGCUCCCUGGGGUGCACAGUGCAGGCUUUCUGGUUGGACAUACAGCUCUCUUGGUUUGAGUUCCUGUAGUGCUCCAUUUUCAAGGUGAGCAGUACCCUUAGUUGGGUAGCUGUCAUUGUAACUUGCCUACAGUACUUUGGAUCUGCUGAGGGAAAGUGAGGGAGGGCUUUCAGCACUUGCCUCAGACUAGGCCCAGGCAGUGAAAGGUACAUGAGUGGUGCCACUUUUGUAGUUUUUGCUAUUCUACAUCUUUAAACAAUUAUUUGGUUUGGCACUUAUCAGCAGAUCUCUAGGUUUCUGUUGAAGAGAAGUCUAAGUGUAAAACAGCAAGGAAUGUUAUAUUUGAAGAGUAAAAAAAAAAAAGUACUUGUAGACACUCCUGCCAUACCGCCCAUGUCAGUCUAGUCCUUUUAAUCUCUCUGCUGCUUUUUAGCAUCAUUUGUUUAAAGCACAUUAAGUGGGGGAAAUGACUUUACUGGAAGAGCUUCUACUUUGUGAAAUAAUGGAUAAUAUUGCUGAUUUGAAUCUUUGGCUAAGGUCUUUUCCAGAAAACUCAGUUGUCCAGUCUUUUAUUAAACAGCGAUUUGUGGAACUUUGUUGGAUGAACCAGUGCAUGAUAGCAGGUAGAACAGCGGAGAAGUUUGGAUGAUUUAUUUAUUACUACUACUUUUUGUUGUUGUUGUUGUUGUUGUUGUUCUCCUUAUCUUGGUGUUCCUCACUGUGUGUACCUGAGUGCCUUCAUGUUCGUUGAAUGCCAUGGGAAACAUGAGUCCAAGCGGCUUUGUGUUCCUCCUCUGAUGGACAGGAAACCAGCCCUCAUUUUAUACAAUAGUUAAACAUUUUAAAAAGACACAUGGCACAGGAAAGUCUUCUGCUGUGUGUGAAGGUAUUUCCAAACUGAAAGUGUUGUUCUGACUCUUUUACCGGUAGUGGUAAAUUAUAUGAGGCCACUUCCAUCUGCAGAGAGCCUGUUUCACUUGCUUGUGGUUCUGGGGCUUAUUCAAAUGCUCUCAAACAAAAUAAAAGGAAUGGAUGCAAUAACUUCUUUAUGGAAAAGUCAUAAAAUCUACAGGGCCAUGUAAACAAAUUGGGACAUUUACAAGAUGUUUAAGUGAUGGAUAUUCAGUCCAAAUUUGAAGGUGUGGAUUAAGUUUUACAGUCAUCUUGACUGAAUCUUGCCCUCAACAAGACUUUCUUUUUCUGCCAAAAUGUCUUUGACAGUAUAGAUGACAGAUUCUCAGGAACAGUAUUUUCAAACAUUUCAGUGCAUUCAGAGUGGAGCAGAGAAAUAGAAGAAGAAUUCAGUAGUAUAAUUUGAUCCUUUCUCUAGGUGAAUGAAGGCUCUUUCUUGAUACGUGUGGUUACACUGUAAAGCUGUAGUGGAACUUUGUAGUGUUCCAGGGGAAAAUAAAAUAAAACAGUUUCCCUUCUGGAUUUAAACAUGCCUGAACUAAUUACAAAGCAACUGUUUUGGCUAUGUGCUCCAUUCAUAUAAAUAGGUUUGUACAGAACAGCAGCAACUCUGAUCCAAGUUAAAACUCUGUUACAGAAACUUAUGUUGGACCAAAUUUAAGCACUGAAUGUCAUACCCUUGACACAUCAACUCAAGACCUUUAUGACUCAUUUCAUUAUUCUUUCAGAAAGUGGAAUGCAAAAGAGGAUAAGUAGCAUUUUUUGGAUAAUAUGUUAUCUAGAAUUAUUUACGUACUUCAGUGUAAAUGUAAACUUAUGUAGGGAGAACUUUGUCAAGUUUGGUGAAGAAGCAUUGGUGUCAGCUACUGUGGGUGCCUCCUUCACUAUGAGAUGCGGCUGCUCAGCUCUGCUAUUGCCAAUGUAACUUCAGCUACCUCUCACAAAUCUUCAUGGACUAAAAUGUGAAAGUAAUUUCAGAAUGAAAACAACCUUGCAGAAGUUUGGCAUUAGUUGCAAUUAACUUUAUGUGGGUGAGGAUACCUAUGUAUAUGUACAGUCCAAAAUAAUGUGGCUGUAAAAAUAACUUCCUUGGAAAUGCUGUAUGUAUAUAGUCAUUUAGAAGAUGAAUCAGAUGAAUGUUUCAUUAUGCUAUGCAGAUUGUAAAAGACUCAUGUUUAUAUUAUUGGCACUUUGUAUUUCAAAAACAUGUUUUUGAGAUGUCACGUGUCUUACUACAUAGGGUAUCUGAUGUUACACAAGGAGAUUCAUACCUGUAAAUAUUUCUCUUGCUCUUUAUUCUGGUAGACCUGAAAGUGAAGUAAAGCCUUGUAACUGAGAGCUAACAAGCAAUGACUUCAAAACAAACCUGAUUUCUAGACAAGGAGAUGAAACUGUUGUAUCCGACCUUACCUAAAUGCUACUUUUUAAAAUUAUUAAGGAUUCUUGAUGGAUCUGCUCUUUUCUUUGUGUUGCAGCAAGAUUGCAAGAAAAUUUUUUUAAAAAAGUCAUUAUUUUCAUUAGCAUUAACUACUUAGUCUUUAAUAACUUACAGGAGUAAUUGAACUCUUAUUUCAAGUAUAAGUCUCAUCCACAAAAAUAGCCUUUCAGUCUCCAUGGUAAGUGGACAUAUUCCUUCUGUCCUCUUCAGAUAUUUCCCUUGGGAGGGGAAAAAAGAAGGAACAAGGUAGCUUUUUAGCAUCACACAUGGCCAUUCUAAACUUGUUUGUUUCCAUCCCAUGUUUGAUAAUUAUGGGAAAGUCCACUGACUCCCUCACUGGAUGUCUUCCAAAUUCAUCUCUUUGCCAGACUCCUUCAUCAUUCCAACCUCUCUAGAGUUGCACAUUUAUUUUAAAAUCUAUCCAAUAGAAUAAAUGUCUCCUUCUCAUCCCUCCAGCAAUCUCCACCUUUUCAGCAUCCCCUAUUACCAAGGCACCCAACUCAUUUAGUAGGAGACCCACAUCUGGACACAGUGCUCCAGGUGAGAUCUCACCAGUGCAGAGUAGAGGGACAGGAUAACCUCCCUUGAUCUGCUGACCACAUGAUGACUGUUAUGAGAUGCUGGGAACAGCUGCUUUUAUUUAAUUUUAUUUAUUUAUUAACUGGAGAUUGCUACUUUAUAACUGAUCUUCAGUAUCUUCAAGAAGCAGUGUGGGGAUGGGAAAGUGGCUGUUCUGAAAUGAAUGUAGCCAGGGCUGGCAAAGGGGUUUUAAGUUCAUUUUCUUCUUGAGAGAAAGCACUGUGGUUACUUGCCUAGUACCUCAAGCAUGACACACUUUGGCACUCUGGAGUCUAACAGUAAAGAAAGCUCUCUUACUUAAGUAUCUGUCUGCUUUGCAAAAUUAUCUUACUGCUUGUAGCUGGAAAGAUGGUUUUGCAUUGCUGUGAAGUAGAACUAUAAACACAUUUUUAAACCAUGUGCUUGUUUUAUCAGUAAGAAUCAUAAAACCAAUUUGUCCCACUAAUCAAGCUUGAAAGUGCUGUGUAAAGAUACCAAGUGAAAGAGCUGUGACAUAUUUCUGCAGUGUAACUGCUUUUUACAUAAUUACAUUUCCAAAAUUUGACCUGGUCAGAGAUCUUUGCUUUAGAGAAAAGAAACUGAUGCUGUGGUUGUGGUAUGUUUAAUACUGUCUGAUAGUUUUUCAGGAUCUGUAGCUUCUCUUUGAGAUAGUGUUGGUCUAAAACACUACCACUGAAAGUACUGGGUCAGGGCUGGAAUAAUGCCCAUGCAUAAAGCUUAUUUCUCUUGCAUGGUAUUUUAAACAAACACACAAAAUCCCUUAUCUUGUUUCUGAUUCUUUAGAAACUGUUUAAAAUAGUUCACAAUAGAAUAGAUGUUCAGUUUUCUUAUGGAAAAUGGCAGCAGCAAAGCAUUCAUUCCUAUCAGCAGUUGCUUCAUGGAUGGUCUUUAAUUACUUGAAUUUAUAGUUAUGUGCACUUGUAUGUGGUUUAUUCUGACAUUUUUAUGUAUGUGGGUGCUUAAUGUUUGUUUGUUUUUAUUCUUUUCAUUGAGGCAAUAUUCUUGGGUUAAAUUGACUCAUUCAGCCUUUUUUCACUUUUGGGAAUGUUCAGCAUUUGAAUUUCAGAAGAUAAUAUAUUUUUUUGUAGUUUUAAAAAGCAACCAUCUCUUGUUUUUGAUUGACUUAGGCAAGCAGUGAAAAUAUUGGAUCUAAAGCUAUUUAGACUGUAUUAGAAGUGAAUUAACAUUAUGUUAAACAGAUCCUCAAAACAAUAAAUGAAGUAGUGUAUGGGCUAAAUUGUAGACUUGUAUGUAUGUGUAGGUGAAAAUCCAGUAAUGCUAGGUAACAUGACAGUGUUUCUAUUUCACACUCACUUUCCAAGGUUAAGGAAGAAAGGAUUCUUUCCUGCUCUUCUACAUCAGCUGUUCUUACUUUUACUUAAUACUAGGCAGUAGGGGCUGUUAAAUAUGUGGAUCCAUACCUAACAUGUAGCUUAGAUGUGGCCAAUAUGAUCCGCAGAGAUACAAAGAUACAGUGUCUCAUCUGUGUGCUGCAUCUGGUUCAUGCCAUCUUAUUUUGGAAUUUGCAUCUGCACCCAGAUGUUGCUACUGAACACGGAAUAGAGUAGCUGUUGAUUUCUGAAUCCUGUACCCCUGCCUCUCUAUAGGAUCUCAGAAGACAACACCUGUUGUCGUUGCUCUUUAAAUGAAUGGUCUUAAAAGUCAUAGCACCUUUUUUUAUGUGCAUGUCUACAGCCUUAUGUUGGCAAUACAAUGUCAAAUUUAACAAUACAUUGGUGUUAGAUUUUUGUCACAGUUAACUGAAUUUUGUUACGUUUUCUCCUCUCCAUCUUCGCUUUCAGAAUAUUCCCUUAGAAUAUUCCCUUAUUCACCUUAGAAAGAUUUUGUGAAGUAAUUAAUAUUUAUGAUUGCAUUUAAUUUUCUUCCAACCCCACUUUAGUCAAAUCAUUACUAUGAAGGCAGCAAUAACAGUGCUGUUUGAUGUAGUGCACUCUAUCCUAUGCACUAGAAGUUUAUUUCUGCUCACUUAACUACAAGUACUUCCUUACCAAUAGUGUGUUGACUACCUCCACUCCCCUACAUUUGUCUAAUGACAGUACUUUGAAUAGGUGUCAAAGAUAUGAAUCUAUAAUGAGGAGUUUUUCAUUAACACACCCCAAAAGUUUCCUCAGUGUAUAAGGAAUUGCCCUGAACUUGGGAAUAGAUUAGUUCUCAUUACUAGGAGAAAAUUAUAUGAUACAAAUCUGCAAGAUCAAGCCACUGUCAUUAAUCAGAGCCUGGAAAAAGGAAACAUCUAGCAAGGUGACUUCUUUUUCAGACUCUUGAUUACAUUCAUAAAACAUGAAAUUAAAUAAGCUCAGCAAUUGUAUUCAUGUUUGCUAUGGUGGUUGUUCCUGUCUAGCUAUAAAAUUCAUUCACAGGAUGUGAAUUGCUUUCUUAUCUGAAAAAAAAAAAAAAAAAAAAAAAAAAGUCUAAUAAUAGUUGUAG